rnacentral:rRNA from 1 species
GAUGAACGCUAGCUACAGGCUUAACACAUGCAAGUCGAGGGGAAACGACAUCGAAAGCUUGCUUUUGAUGGGCGUCGACCGGCGCACGGGUGAGUAACGCGUAUCCAACCUGCCCAUCACUUGGGGAUAACCUUGCGAAAGUAAGACUAAUACCCAAUGAUAUCUCUAGAAGACAUCUGAAAGAGAUUAAAGAUUUAUCGGUGAUGGAUGGGGAUGCGUCUGAUUAGCUUGUUGGCGGGGUAACGGCCCACCAAGGCGACGAUCAGUAGGGGUUCUGAGAGGAAGGUCCCCCACAUUGGAACUGAGACAUGGGCCAAACUCCUACGGGAGGCAGCAGUGAGGAAUAUUGGUCAAUGGACGAGAGUCUGAACCAGCCAAGUAGCGUGCAGGAUGACGGCCCUAUGGGUUGUAAACUGCUUUUAUAAGGGAAUAAAGUAAGUCUCGUGAGACUUUUUGCAUGUACCUUAUGAAUAAGGACCGGCUAAUUCCGUGCCAGCCGCCGCGGUAA